rnacentral:miRNA from 1 species
CGCUUGGGGCAGCAGCAACAGCGGCGGCGGCGGCGGCGGCGGCAGCAGCAGCGGCGGCAG